UGUGCCUACGGGGCGCAGCAGUGAGGAAUAUUGGUCAAUGGGCGGAAGCCUGAACCAGCCAAGUCGCGUGAGGGAAUAAGGCCCUACGGGUCGUAAACCUCUUUUGUCGGGGAGCAAAAGACGCCACGCGUGGCGUUCCGAGAGUACCCGAAGAAAAAGCAUCGGCUAACUCCGUGCCAGCAGCCGCGGUAAUACGGAGGAUGCGAGCGUUAUCCGGAUUUAUUGGGUUUAAAGGGUGCGCAGGCGGAAGAUCAAGUCAGCGGUAAAAUUGAGAGGCUCAACCUCUUCGAGCCGUUGAAACUGGU
rnacentral:rRNA from 1 species